rnacentral:tRNA from 2 species
GCCUCGGUAGCUCAGUUGGUAGAGCAUCUGUCUAGAAUGCAGAAUGUCGCGGGUUCGAGUCCCACCUGAGGCA